AGGCCCUGUUCCUGGAGUUAAUCUAGAAAAGAAACAUUUUAAAAUUGUAGAAAAUUACUCCUUUGAAGAUUUAAUUUCAAUUAAACAUGAAGUGAUACAUCAAAGUGGGGAAAAGGCCCCCGGGGGGUGGGGUGGUGUUAUUUGGGUUUGUACUGUUCGGACAAAUUGCAGGAAAUUUGGGUAGAUGAAAACAUCUAGUUCUACUGAAGGAGCAUUAAAAUUAUGGUUGGAGGGGCAGUACAAUUAAUGGUGAGCAUUUGUUUCAUCAUAUGUUUAAUCGUUAAUGAAUGC
rnacentral:misc_RNA from 1 species